ACUCCUACGGGAGGCAGCAGUGGGGAAUUUUGGACAAUGGGCGCAAGCCUGAUCCAGCCAUUCCGCGUGCAGGAUGAAGGCCCUCGGGUUGUAAACUGCUUUUGUACGGAACGAAAAGGCUCUGGUUAAUACCCGGGGCUCAUGACGGUACCGUAAGAAUAAGCACCGGCUAACUACGUGCCAGCAGCCGCGGUAAUACGUAGGGUGCAAGCGUUAAUCGGAAUUACUGGGCGUAAAGCGUGCGCAGGCGGUGAUGUAAGACAGAGGUGAAAUCCCCGGGCUCAACCUGGGAACUGCCUUUGUGACUGCAUCGCUGGAGUACGGCAGAGGGGGAUGGAAUUCCGCGUGUAGCAGUGAAAUGCGUAGAUAUGCGGAGGAACACCGAUGGCGAAGGCAAUCCCCUGGGCCUGUACUGACGCUCAUGCACGAAAGCGUGGGGAGCAAACAGGAUUAGAUACCCUGGUAGCGUCGUC
rnacentral:rRNA from 1 species